CGCCUCUCAGGGUCGCACCUGGGGAGUUUCCAGUACUCUACCAAUCUCGACUAUAGGAGGGAGAGUCAAACAGAGGCCCAUCCAUUCCAUUCCUAGCUUGGCCAGUGGCUAGCGAAUGGGGGGCAAUCUGUUACAAAC